AUGGUGGUUCUCUGCAGUAGCUUGGAGCUGCAGAACCACUCCGCCGCCUCGGCCACGGACUCCUUGGACCUGUCCAAUGGGUUUCUCAGUCUGGAGCAGAUCGGCCGGAGGCGGCUCCGCUCGGCUGGCGCGGCGCAGAAGCAGCCCGUGGCGACCACAGCCAAAGCGGGCGAUGGGUCGUCAGUUAAGGAAGUUGGAACCUACCACCGGACACGUGCUUUAAGAUCUUUGAGAAAAGAUGCACAGAAUUCUUCAGAUUCUAGUUUUGAGAAGCAUGUGGAAGCAACGGAGCAACUUGCUAAUGGCAGGCAUUUUACAAGGCAGUCGGCCAGACAGCAGGCUGAUAAAAAAAAAAGAAGAGCGCAGAGAAGACAAAGUGAUUCCAGUUACUCGGUCAUUGAGGACUAGAAACAUCGUUCAAAGUACAGAACACUUACAUGAAGAUAAUGGUGAUGUUGAAAUGUGUCGAAGUUGUAGGAUUAGAAGUCGUUAUAGUGGUGUAAACCAGUCCAUGCUGUUUGGCAAACUUAUAACUAACACUGCUGAAGCUGUACUUCAAAAAAUGGAUGACAUGAAGAAGAUGCGUAGACAGCCAAUGAGAGAACUUGAAGACUUGGGAGUGUUUAAUGAAACAGAAGAAAGCAAUCUUAAUAUGUACACAAGAGGAAAACAGAAAGAUAUUCAAAGAACUGAUGAAGAAACAACUGAUCAUCAAGAAGGAAGUGUGGAAUCAUCUGAAGAGGGUGAAGACCAGGAACAUGAAGAUGAUGGUGAAGAUGAAGAUGAUAAAGAUGAUGAAGAUGAAGAAGAUGGAGAAGAUAAUCAGAAACGAUAUUAUCUUAGAGAAAAACUACUGUUUACUACCAGGCUCCACUGGAAAAACCUCGUCACCAGAGAAAGCCCAACAUAUUUUAUAGUGGCCCAGCUUCUCCUGCAAGACCAAGAUACCGAUUAUCUUCUGCAGGACCAAGAAGUCCUUACUGUAAACGAAUGAACAGGCGAAGGCAUGCAAUCCACAGUGGUGACUCGACUUCAUCUUCCUCCUCUGAGGAUGAACAGCACUUUGAGAGGCGGAGGAAAAGGAGUCGUAAUAGGGCUAUCAAUAGGUGCCUCCCACUAAAUUUUCGGAAAGAUGAAUUAAAAGGCAUGUAUAAAGAUUGAAUGAAAAUUGGAGCAAGCCUUGCCGAUGUUGAUCCAAUGCAACUAGAUUCUUCAGUACGAUUUGAUAGUGUUGGUGGCCUGUCUAAUCAUAUAGCAGCUCUAAAAGAGAUGGUGGUGUUUCCAUUUCUUUAUCCAGAAGUCUUUGAAAAAUUUAAAAUUCAACCCCCAAGAGGUUGUUUGUUUUAUGGGCCACCUGGAACUGGAAAGACUCUGGUUGCCAGAGCACUUACCAAUGAGUGCAGUCAAGGGGAGAAAAGAGUAGCGUUUUUCAUGAGGAAAGGUGCUGACUGUCUAAGUAAAUGGGUAGGAGAAUCUGAAAGACAGCUACGAUUGCUAUUUGAUCAGGCCUAUCAGAUGCGCCCAUCAAUUAUUUUUUUUAAAGAAAUCGAUGGUCUGGCUCCAGUACGGUCAAGCAGGCAAGAUCAGAUUCACAGUUCUAUUGUUUCCACCCUGCUAGCUCUUAUGGAUGGAUUGGACAGCAGAGGAGAAAUUGUGGUCAUUGGUGCUACCAACAGACUAGAUUCUAUAGACCCUGCUUUACGAAGGCCUGGUCGUUUUGACAGAGAAUUCCUUUUUAGCCUACCUGAUAAAGAGGCUCGAAAAGAGAUUCUAAAGAUUCACACCAGGGAUUGGAAUCCCAAACCACUGGACACAUUUUUAGAAGAGCUAGCAGAAAACUGUGUUGGAUACUGUGGAGCAGAUAUUAAAUCAAUAUGUGCUGAAGCUGCUUUAUGUGCUCUACGACGACGCUACCCACAGAUCUAUACCACUAGUGAGAAACUACAGUUGGAUCUCUCUUCAAUUAAUAUCUCAGCUAAGGAUUUCGAGGUAGCUAUGCAAAAGAUGAUACCAGCCUCCCAAAGAGCUGUGACAUCACCUGGGCAGGCACUGUCCACCAUUGUGAAACCACUCCUGCAAAGCACUGUUGACAAGAUCUUAGAAGCCCUGCAGAGAGUAUUUCCACAUGCAGAAUUCACAACAAAUCAAACAUUAGACUCAGAUAUUUCUCGUCCUCUGCUAGAAAGUGACUUGGUUUACAGUGAUGAUGAUGUUCCAUCAGUUUAUGAAAAUGGACUUUCUCAGAAAUCUUCUCCUAAGGCAAAAGACAAUUUUAAUUUUCUUCAUUUGAAUAGAAAUGCUUGUUACCAACCUAUGUCUUUUCGACCAAGAAUAUUGAUAGUAGGAGAACCAGGAUUUGGGCAAGGUUCUCACUUGGCACCAGCUGUCAUUCAUGCUUUGGAAAAAUUUACUGUAUAUACAUUAGACAUUCCUGUUCUUUUUGGAGUUAGUGCUACAUCCCCUGAAGAAACAUGUGCCCAGGUAAUUCGCGAAGCUAAGAGAACAGCACCAAGUAUAGUGUAUGUUCCUCAUAUCCACUUGUGGUGGGAAAUAGUUGGACCAACACUUAAAGCCACAUUUCCCACAUUAUUACAGAAUAUUCCUUCAUUUGCUCCAGUUUUACUACUUGCAACUUCUGACAAACCCCAUUCUGCUUUGCCAGAAGAGUUGCAAGAAUUGUUUAUCCGUGAUUAUGGAGAGAUUUUUAAUGACCAGUUACCGGGUAAAGAAGAACGGACAAAAUUUUUUGAAGAUUUAAUUCUAAAACAAGCUGCUAAGCCUCCUAUAUCAAAAAAGAAUGCAGUUUUGCAGGCUUUGGAGGUACUCCCAGUAGCACCACCACCUGAGCCAAGAUCGCUGACAGCAGAAGAAGUGAAACGACUAGAAGAACAAGAAGAAGAUACAUUUAGAGAACUGAGGAUUUUCUUAAGAAAUGUUACACAUAGGCUUGCUGUUGACAAACGAUUCCAAGUGUUUACUAAGCCUGUUGACCCUGAUGAGGUUCCUGAUUAUGUCACUGUAAUAAAGCAACCAAUGGACCUUUCAUCUGUAAUCAGUAAAUUGAUCUACACAAGUAUCUGACUGUGAAAGACUAUUUGAGAGAUACUGAUCUAAUCUGUAGUAAUGCCUUAGAAUACAAUCCAGAUAGAGAUCCUGGAGAUCGUCUUAUUAGGCAUAGAGCCUGUGCUUUAAGAGAUACUGGCUAUGCCAUAAUUAAAGAAGAACUUGAUGAAGACUUUGAGCAGCUCUGUGAAGAAAUUCAGGAAUCUAGAAAGAAAAGAGGUUGUAGCUCCUCCAAAUACGCCCCGUCUUACUACCAUGUGAUGCUAAAGCAAAAUUCCACUCUUGCUGGUGACAAAAGAUCAGACCCAGAGCAGAAUGAAAAGCUAAAGACACCAAGUACUCCCAUGGCUUGCAGCACUCCUGCUCAGUUGAAGAGGAAAAUUCGCAAAAAGUCAAAAUGGUACUUAGGCACCAUAAGAAAGCGAAGGAGGAUUUCACAGGCAAAGGAUGAUAACCAGAAUGCCAUGGAUCACAAAAUUGAGAGUGAUACAGAGGAAACUCAAGACACAAGUGUAGAUCAUAAUGGGACCGGAAACACAGGAGAGUCUUCAGUGGAAGAAAACGAAAAGCAGCAAAAUGCCUCUGAAAGCAAACUGGAAUUGAGAAAUAAUUCAAAUACUUGUAAUAUCGAGAAUGAGCUUGAAGACUCUAGGAAGACUACAGCAUGUACAGAAUUAAGGAGAGAGAAGACUGCUUGCAAUGGAGAUGCUUCUAGCUCUCAGAUAAUACAUAUUUCUGAUGAAAAUGAAGGAAAAGAAAUGUGUGUUCUGCGAAUGACUCGAGCUAGACGUUCCCAGGUAGAACGGCAGCAGCUCAUCAGUGUUGAAAAGGCUUUGGCAAUUCUUUCUCAGCCGACACCCUCACUUGUUGUGGAUCAUGAGCGAUUAAAAAAUCUUUUGAAGACUGUUGUUUAAAAAAGUCGAAACUACAACAUAUUUCAGUUGAAAAAUUUGUAUGCAGUAAUCAGCCAAUGUAUUUAUCGGCAUCGCAAGGACUAUGAUAAAACAUCACUUAUUCAGAAAAUGGAGCAAGAGGUAGAAAACUUCAGUUGUUCCAGAUGAUGAUGUCAUGGUAUCGAGUGUUCUUUAUAUUCAGUUCCUAUUUAAGUCAUUUUUGUCAUGUCCGCCUAAUUGAUGUAGUAUGAAACCCUGCAUCUUUAAGGAAAA